CAAAGUNUAUAAGACUUUCCUACUACAUUUAAUUUAUACAAAUUGCUUUUAAAUAAUUUUAAACUCCUCUUCAACUAAGACUUCUUGCAGCAGCAUCAAAACAAUUGUCUUCAAGAUUUACCAAUGCUCCUUAUUGGUAACAAUUGUUUCCCAAAGGACUCUUAGGCCAUACUUUUCANGUAAACCAAUUGCAUAAGACUUGAGAAGAAAUUAAUUUUGGGUUUGGAAUGCAAAAACAAAAGUAAACAUGCAAAUGUAGUGAAUCAAUUUGCUAAAGAAACUAUGAAUGAAUGGAGUUGUUAGGGUUUACAAUUUCAUCCUAUCCACCUUCUUAUAUCUACUCUUCUUAUCUAAUUCACUUAUUUAUAAUAUUGUCAUGCAAACUUUCUUGGUCUACCCUUAACCCAAUUNCUUGGCGAAAAGAGCCUAUUACUAAUUACCGGCUUGCUAUCCCUAGCCUCCCCUAGUAAUUAAAAAUACAUGAUAAACAGAAGCAAAAUACAAUUNAUCGUCCUACCCCUAUCCCUAGGCGGUAUUAGCAUAAUCAAGGAAUUCCCCCANUUAAUGACAUUACGGUACGUUCCCGUAUCAAUAAAGACAAACAACAUUUACCGAAUGAGUUAAACGAU
rnacentral:lncRNA from 1 species